ACAUUGAUGGGCCAGAAAUUCCUCGAGUCCUGUUCGUGCUGUGCCUUACAUGUAGCAGACGUGCAGCAAAUAUUUGUUGAAUGAUUGGAAUCCCAGGGGCUUGUUUCAAUUGCAGCGAAACCAGACACAGCACUGGGCUGUGCGCCGCUUUGUGUCCCAGCCUCAGGUCUCCGAUGCAGCACCUGGAAGGGAGGAGGGGGCUCAGGUCGUGGGGCCUGUCUGGCACCCAUGUGGUGCUGGAGAUCCUGACGUCAUGCUGAGGCCGCCACUGGCAUGGAGGAGCCCAGCCCUUACAGGAGUCCCUGGAACCUCCAACUGGAUAAAUCCCAAAGCACUGAGUUCCCUUCCAACUUUCCAACUCCCCCAGAUUCUCCUUUGGAAGACACUGGGAUAAAAUGGUGGAAAAGCUGAAAUUUAUGCCUGUGGAAUCUGAGGCACGAACAUUUCCCGAGAUCUGUAAAUCAGCUGCCGUGCCCAAAGCGCCAGCAGCCUCGUAGCCCGCAGAAAGCCCGCGCGUGACCGUGUCCACGGCUUCUACAGCUCGAGAGCAGGAGCCGGCUCUGGGCUGAAGAUGAAGUUCUGACCUCCCACAGCCCCUGGUUCGGUUUUCUGAGUUCCUUGGGAUCUUUGUCAUGAGAAAAAGCUGAGAAUGGGAGCGAAGCAGGUGGAAGUGGAAACUGUGAAAGGGACUCUCGCCCGCAAACCUGCCUGGAUGUCAAAAUGAUUCAAACCGAAGUCUCCAAGCCAAGGGCUUUCAGUCUUCUGAGAGCUGGAGAAUCGUCUAGCAUUUCUCUGGAUUCAAGGACCCUCUAGGGUUCUUCUGGGAGGGGGAUGUUCUGAAGGCUUGGUGACCACCCUACUUCAUGUGUCUUGUGUAUGAAUGGAUGCAAUUAAAACAGAAAUCAUUGGUUGAAUUCA